UGUGUUAUGUUUGUGUGUGUGUGUGUGUGUGUGUGUAUGUGUGUGUGUGUGUGUCACACACAUGCACACACACACGCACACACACACGCACACACACACACACAUGUGUGUAUAUAUAUAUAUAUAUAUAUAUAUAUAUAUAUAUAUAUAUAUAUACAUACACACACACAUAUAUAU